GAAACACAGAUAUUUACAGGGAGAUGGAUGAAAGAGGCAACACCCUUCACCUCCUGUUGGGUUCAGAACUACAAGUUCUCAUUUGUGUUUCCACAUCCAGCCAGUAGAUGGAGCCCUGAUGCAGCAGAUCCAAGUUAGAUGUGACCUUUGAGCCCUCAAGCUUCCUCUAAUGUGAGAUCUUGCUUUGUGAUGAGGAUGAUGGUGGAUUUUAGGGGCAAAGGUGCUCUAGUUUCAUAAAACAGAACUGCUUUAACCCCCUCUCUAUAAAUGCACACUAUAAAAAAUAAGCUUCUAAAAUAAAGAGGCGUGAAGGCGUUAAAACACUGAGAUGACGUUCUUCAGGUUCUUCUGUGAGCAAACGGCUGAAAGAUCUUCUCCUGAGGAAAACAGCAAACAGAAACACCCAGAGCUCACAGGUCAGUUAAAGUCACUGCUUGUUGUGGGCAUGUGCAGAAGCAUCUGAAUACUCGUCUUUCAUCCAAUUCCUUUGACUCGUGUCUUCCCUCUAACCUCCUGUCAAAAUGUGAAACCACUCUUCUGAAACCCGUCCACUCUCCUGCAGCUUGGUGGAGCCCAUAAACCCCCAAACAAACUCAGCCGACUGCAGCAGAUGGCAGCGGAGUCGGCCUUUCUUUCCAGCUUAACAUAUGCAAAAACGGCUCCAUGUUCUGCAAAGCUUCAACCGAUCCUGAGAUGAUGUGAGAUGUCCUCAGCCGCUUCUUAGAGACCAUGCAGCUCUGCAAAUAAAAAAAGCGUUUUGGAAAAA